CCCUUAGAUGUUCUGGGCCGCACGCGCGCUACACUGAUUCAUGCAACAAGUUUUGUCCUUGGCUGAUAGGCCUGGGUAAUCUUUGAACGUGAAUCGUGAUGGGGAUAGAUGAUUGCAAUUAUUCAUCUUCAACGAGGAAUUCCUAGUAAACGCAAGUCAUCAGCUUGCAUUGAUUACGUCCCUGCCCUUUGUACACACCGCCCGUCGCACCUACCGAUUGAAUGGUCCGGUGAAAUCUUCGGAUCUGAGAGAUGUCUUAUUAAUUUCGGACGCCUUUUGGAAAAGUUGUUUAAACCUUACCAUUUAGAGGAAGGUGAAGUCGUAACA
rnacentral:rRNA from 1 species